rnacentral:rRNA from 1 species
UACGUAGGAGGCAAGCGUUGUCCGGAAUCACUGGGCGUAAAGCGCGUGUAGGCGGCCCUGCAAGUCGGAUGUGAAAUCCCACGGCUCAACCGUGGAAGUGCAUUCGAAACUGCAGGGCUAGAGUCCUGGAGAGGAAGGUGGAAUGCUUGGUGUAGAGGUGAAAUUCGUAGAUAUCAAGCGGAACACCGGUGGCGAAGGCGGCCUUCUGGACAGUGACUGACGCUGAGACGCGAAAGCGUGGGGAGCAAACAGG